UUCAGACAUCACAUACGACAGAGCUGCAGUGCGCAACGCGUUUAAGCCGCCUGUACGUUCCCAACAUUCUUUUUUUUUGUUCAUAGUUUUACACAACUAAAAAAAUACGCGACGCGUCGAACGGUGUGUGCAUGUUUUUUAUAUACAGUUCGUUGUUUGCGUUGCAAGUGUUUUUUAAUUGCAAUUUUGAAUGCGCGCAAGUGUAAUUGAUAAUAAACAGCGUCCCCUCGCCUCCUUUUUGUUGCAUAGAAGAAGAUCCUUCAACUUUCUAUACAAGCCAAAAACCAACAAUAACAACAACAUAACACGAAAGUCUAUUUCACUACCAAUUUGAAGUAAAAGGGUGCUAUUAAUAAAAGCAAACAAACCACAAAACACUAUGUGGAGUCCCACACAUUGCAGUGUAACUGUGCAGCGUGCACGAGGUCUGCUGACCAAGGGCAAGAAUGGCACCAACAACUGCUUCGUCACAAUCGCCCUGGGCAAGGAGAAGUACCAGACAUCGGUCAAGGACAAAGCCGAGACGAGCGUCAACUGGAACGAAGAGUGCGAACUCAAAAUUCCCGAUCAGGGAAAUCGUGCCGAACUGACGUUGACGUGUCUGCAUCGCAACAAUCUGGGCAUCGAUGAGUUCCUGGGUCAGGCAACGCUGCCGCUCAAGGAUAUGGAUGUGUACGACAGGCCGCGGGCCAAAUGGUUUAAGCUGGAGAGCAAACCCGGCAAGGAGAAGAAGAACAAGGAGCGUGGUGAGCUGGAGGUGCGCAUUGCGUUCGUUGUCAAAUCCGGUUCACUGACCGAUCUCAGCAAGAAGGACAAGCACAAGUCUUCCAUUGGCCAGCUGGCCAGCUCGGUUGGCGGCAGUCUCCUCUCCAUUGGCCAGGGCGAGAAGCGCAAGAGCAUCAAGAAGCUGGCCGGCUCCCUCAGCUCAAAGUUGCACAUACGCAGCAAGAAGAAGCAUGCCGAUGGCGAUGACAGCGGCUCGUUUAGCGGCUCCUUUGCCAGCAUCGGUACACCCAAUAGCUCCAAUGGUCUGGGCAGUGGCAUUGGCGGCGGCAGCGGUCGCCGGCGAGGCGGACAGCGGGCUGGCGAAGCGGAUCCCGGUGUCAUUAGCGAGGACGAGGAUGAGUUUGUCUUUGACAAUCUGUCGCACAAGAGCUCGGGCAGUUCGCUGAACAUUCAACGGUCGGGUCUUCAGGUGCCGAAUGCCACGGUCGGAGGAGGUUCAUCGACCGGAAACUUUGCGCCACGCAAUCCAUCGCCGUUGCUGAGCAACGGUGGACUGGGAAAGGGGGGAAAACUGAAUGGAGGUAAGGCCAACAAUCAAUUGCAAGAGACACUCGAUGAGGAUCCAAUCGUGGCGGAGAUGGAACAGCUUGAGCUCGAUUUCAGCGUUCGUGCGCGCACUCUGCCCGCUCCCUCGAAGCCGCCGCGCACCCAACCAACAACAACAACAUUGACCGAAGAAGAGUUGCCUAUCGAACGGGAACGGGAACGUGAACGUGAUGUUGAGGGUGGUCCUGACGCAGUUGUAGGUGGUGAAGUGGUGAGACCUUCGGUGACGCCUCGACCCGUUUCAGAGCCAGUCGCCACACAACAGCAGGAUGAAUGGGUAUCCAAGCUGUAUGGCAAUAACAAGUAUCUAGAGAUUGGCAGCAGCGAUUCCCUCAAGCGUCGUAGCUGGGAGUCGCGUGUCCCGCUGCCUGCCACCAGCGAGGAGCCGUCAGCGUUGCCGCCAGCGUCGCCGCCUCAGCUGCCUGCCAAAGACGCCAGCUCCUCUUCCUCCAGCAGCAGCUCCUCCUCCUCAUCGGACAGUGAGGCAGAUGAAGAAGUCGAAGUAACCACAGCAGCAGCAGCAGCAGCUGCUGAGCCUCCGAAGGUUGUUGUGGAAAAGACUCGCAACAACUCGCUGUUCUCCUCCGAUGUGGACACACGCAACUUCGACUCGUUCAACUCGAGCUUUGCCCAGUUCGAGCAACGCCACAGCACCGCCAUCUUUGCGGACGAUGAACCCCCAGCGCAACCGUUGCCCAGUCCACGUGCCACGCCCCAGCCGCAACCGCGUGUCAACAGCAACAGCGAACAGCUGAACAAACUGAAGACGGAAUCAGCGGCUCUGGUCAAGGCGGAGGCUGCCGCUCAGGAGGAGGCAGCUCGUCAACGGCGUGCGGAAGAGGAUGCUCGACUGGAGGCCGAGUUGCGUUUGAAUGAGGAGCGUUUGCGUGAAGAGGAGGCGGCCAUGCAACAGGAGUUGCAGCAGCAACAGGAGCUGGAGGAGCAGCGACGACGUGAGGCCAAGCGGCGUGAGGAGGAUCAGCGACUGUUGAGCUUUGGCAAGCGAUCCACAUCGCUGGAGGAGCAACAACCACAACCGCAACCACAGCAACAACAACAGCAGCAGUCUCAGCAAAGGAUUAUAGAACCUACGGUGGCCGCUGUCGAUGAUGUGCUGUUGGAGCCCAAUUACUUGACACCGGAGCAAUCUCCCAAAGAGUUUAGCAGCAAUGGCGGCGGCUUUGAGAAGAGAUUGGGCAAAUUUAAAUACGCCAAUAAGCGAGACAAACAAAAUGACACCGACAGCAACUCGCCAAGUCCCAAAUCCACGGAACGCAUCAUUAUUGGACAUGAAAAAUCGCUUACGGAACGUCGCUCCGAGAUCUCUGCACAGUUGGCCAAAAAAUACGAUGGCAAAUCGCGAGAGGAGCUAAUGCUAAUUGCUAACGGAAUGGAGAAUGAAGCGUUGUUGAUGCGACAGCGGGUUAAGGAAUUGGAGGAUUAUCUUGAUAAUUUGCUGUUGCGUGUUAUGGAAACACAUCCGAAGAUCUUGCAGAAUCCCUAUUCACGCACCACAUCGGCCAAAAGUUAUAAAAAUUACAUCAAUAUGAAUGACUUUUUAAAGUAAGUGCUGUGAAUUUUGCGCAUGUAUUUUUGCACGCACACUAAAACAAAGCAAAACAACAACAACAACAAACAAACAAAUGCACUACUCAAACACACGAACAGCUAAAACCAAGAACAACAACACUUCGGAGAGAUAGACAGAGAGAAAGAGAGAGAACAUCCGCAGGAUCAGUACCUGGCAGCAAGAACAACAACUACAACUACACACCCACAACAACAACAACUCCAGCAUGCGACAGCUGAGAUCGCUGGCAAAAGAGAGAGAGACGGCUAAGUGUCACAGCAGUCAGCCAAAAUCUUCGAUCCAAGCAAGCAGCUUGCUGUCAGCGCAGAGCAGGGUGAUGCUACAAAAGCUGAAUGCUGCACCGCCGCCGUCGCGUUUAAAUUUAAUAAAUAUAAUAGAAAUCAAAUUGAACACCAAGUUGCCUUUUGUCGUCAUUAGAUAAAUUCAAGUGCUUUCUUAUUGUAUUUUUGUUAGCAUUAUACAUAUAUAUAUAUAUUUACACUACAAAAACAAACUCUUAGCUAUAAGGACGAUUUUUUUACAUGGCCUGACCAAACAAAUUGUUCAAGUCCCUGAAAUAUCUACUAUAUAGCAUUAACAAUCUUUUUUCUUGUGUGUCUUGUACUUUAGUAACAUGACAUUCGGAUUUUUCUUUUUCCGCGUGCUUGUAAAUUCACUUAAAUUAUCUUAUUUGUCAAAUGUAAACAAUUGGCCAACAAUUGUCAGGUUGAAUUUCGAUUCUAUUCAAUUAUUUGAUAUUUGAUGCUGAAAUUAUCCAAAAGUAUUUAUUAUUUUUUUUUUGUUUGUGCAUUUUAAUGUUUUUUUUUUUUGUUCUGUGUGAAGAAGUCUGCGAACCGGCUACAAUUGAAACAAUUUAUAGUUAAGUAAACCUUAAAUUAUUUAUGUAUUAGAUGUUAAGUGGAGAAAGAGCAAUAGGAGCGAGGAGAGAACUACAUACAGUUAUACAUAAUAUGUUGAUU